AAUGGUUUGAGGAACAUGACAAAGAGCUCAAGGUGUUGCCUUGGCAUCGACAUUCCUCCUGAUUGAGCAUCUGUGGGAUGUGUUGGAACAACAAACCAAAUCCAUGGAAGCCCCACCUUGCAACUUGAAGGGCUUAAAAGUACCUGCUGGUAAUAUCUUGGUGCCAGAUACCACAGGACACAUUCACAGGUCUUGUGGAGUCCAUACCUCGACGGAUCAGAGCUGUUUUGGCAGCACAAG